GUCUAAGGCCAUGCCACCCUGAACACAUCUGAUCUCAUCUGAUCUCGGAAGCUAAGCAGAGUCCAGUCCGGUUAGUACUUGGAUGAGAGACCUAGGAAUACUGGGUGCUGUAAGCU
rnacentral:rRNA from 1 species